rnacentral:rRNA from 1 species
GGAAUAUUGCACAAUGGGGGAAACCCUGAUGCAGCGACGCCGCGUGAGUGAAGAAGUAUCUCGGUACGUAAAGCUCUAGCAGCAGGGAAGAAAAAAAGCCUUUGGCUUUGGACGGUACCUGACUAAGAAGCCCCGGCUGACUACGUGCCAGCAGCCGCGGUAAUACGUAGGGGGCAAGCGUUAUCCGGAUUUACUGGGUGUAAAGGGAGCGUAGACGGCAGCGCAAGUCUGGAGUGAAAUGCCGGGGCUCAACCCCGGAACUGCUUUGGAAACUGUGCAGCUAGAGUGCGGGAGAGGUAAGCGGAAUUCCUAGUGUAGCGGUGAAAUGCGUAGAUAUCAGGAGGAACACCGGCGGCGAAGGCGGCUUACUGGACUGUAACUGACGUUGAGGCUCGAAGGCGUGGGGAGCAA